GCCUCGGUAGCUCAGUUGGUAGAGCAGUUGACUCUUAAUCAAUUGGUCCAAGGUUCGAGUCCUUGCCGGGGCACCA
rnacentral:tRNA from 1 species